CUGUCCCAGUCCAGCAUAAGCAGACAAUUGAAUUGAAAGUUUCUAAUAUCACAGCAAGCAUAAACAAGCCUUAUGAAAAGGACCUUUUUAUUCCUCCUAUACAUUAAGCAGAUCAUUGAAUGAUCAAUUGCUGUCCCAGUCCAGCAAUACACAUCUUUAAGCAGAUAUAUGAACUAUAAGUUUGAAUCUCGAACUCCCACAAACAAGCCUUAUAAAAAGGACCUUUUUAUUUCUCCUAUAAUAAGCAGAUCAUUGAAUGAUCAAUUUGCUGUCCCAGCCCAG